rnacentral:rRNA from 1 species
AUGCCCUCGGACAUUGUCGUGCGUUGUUGUCUCGCAGGCACUGA